AUGAACGCUAGCGGCAGGCUUAAUACAUGCAAGUCGAGGGGCAGCAGGGGGUGUAGCAAUACACUCGCUGGCGACCGGCAAACGGGUGCGCACACGUACGCAACCUAGCCCAUAACUGAUGAUAGCCCUCCGAAAGGAGGAUUAAUACAUCGUAACCUUGUGAAAAGUGGCAUCACUUUAUAAGUAUAGCGCCGGCGGUUUUGUGGAAUGGGCGUGCGCCUGAUUAGGUAGUUUGGCGGGGUAGGAACGGCCCAGCCAAGCCUUCGAAUCAAGUAACUGGUGUGAGAGCUAGAGCACGACCAGUCACACGGGCACUGAGACACGGGCCCGACUCCUACGGGAGGGCAGCAGUAAGGAAUAUUGGUCAAUGGACACAAGUCUGAACCAGCCAUGCGUCGUGAAGUAUGAAGGUCCUCUGGAUUGUGAAACUUUCUUUUAUGUGGGGACGAAUACCCGGAUAUUCUUAUCCGAUUGAACGGUACCUUCAGGAAUAAGCACCGGCUAACUCCGUGCCAGCAUGCCGCGGUAAUACGGAGGGAUGCAAGCGUUAUCCGGAUUCACUGGGUUUAAAGGGAGCGUAGGAGGGCAGGUAAGUCAGUGGUGAAAUCCCCGUGCUUAAUCAUGGGUAACUGCCGUAUGAUACUAUCUGUCUUGAAUGCCGUGGAGAUGAGGCGGAAUAUGUCAUGUAGCGGUGAAAUGCUUAGAUAUGACAUAGAACACCGAUUGCGAAGGCAGCUCGUUACACGAACAUUGACUCUGAGGCUCGAAAGCGUGGGGAUCAAACAGGAUUAGAUACCCUGGUAGUCCACGCCCUAAACGAUGGAUACUCGACAUACGCGAUACACUGUGUGGUGUCUGAGCGAAAGCAUUAAGUAUCCCACCUGGGAAGUACGACAGCAAUGGUUGAAACUCAAAGGAAUUGGCGGGGGUCCGCACAAGCGGUGGAGCAUGUGGUUAAUUCGAUGAUACGCGGGGACCUUACCUGGGCUAGAUAUGCUGGUUGACCGGGGGUGAAAGCUCUCUUUGUAGCAAUACACAACCAGUAAGGUGCUGCAUGGCUGUCGUCAGCUCGUGCCGUGAGGUGUUGGGGUUAAGUCCCACGCAACGAGCGCAACCCCCAUCAGUAGUUGCCAUCAGGUAACGCUGGGAACUCUACUGAAACUGCCGUCGUACAGACGCGAGGAAGGAGGGGAUGAUGUCAAGUCAUCAUGGCCUUUAUGGCCCAGGAGCUACACACGUGCUACAAUGGGACGGACAAAGGGCUGCGCCACUUAGCGAUAAGGAGCCAAUCCCAAAAACCGUCUCUCAGUUCAGAAUCGCAAGUCUGCAACUCGACUGCGUGAAGCUGGAAUCGCUAGUAACUCGUAUAUCAGCAAUGAUACGGUGAAUACGAUUCCCGGACCUUGCACACACAGCCACGCCCGUCAAGCAUGGAAGCCGGGUGUACCUAAAGUCGGUAACCGCAAGGAGCCGCCUAGGGUAAAACUGGUAACUGGGGCU
rnacentral:rRNA from 1 species